rnacentral:rRNA from 1 species
AUUGAACGCUGGCGGCAUGCCUUACACAUGCAAGUCGAACGGCAGCGCGGGAGCAAUCCUGGCGGCGAGUGGCGAACGGGUGAGUAAUACAUCGGAACGUGCCCAAUCGUGGGGGAUAACGCAGCGAAAGCUGUGCUAAUACCGCAUACGAUCUACGGAUGAAAGCAGGGGAUCGCAAGACCUUGCGCGACUGGAGCGGCCGAUGGCAGAUUAGGUAGUUGGUGAGGUAAAGGCUCACCAAGCCUUCGAUCUGUAGCUGGUCUGAGAGGACGACCAGCCACACUGGGACUGAGACACGGCCCAGACUCCUACGGGAGGCAGCAGUGGGGAAUUUUGGACAAUGGGCGAAAGCCUGAUCCAGCCAUGCCGCGUGCAGGAUGAAGGCCUUCGGGUUGUAAACUGCUUUUGUACGGAACGAAACGGUCUUUUCUAAUAAAGAAGGCUAAUGACGGUACCGUAAGAAUAAGCACCGGCUAACUACGUG